UGCUACUACCAAACCCUCUUUCUUUGAGUCUUUACAAUUCGUAAUUCUAUGUUGCUCAUGUAUUGAUUGCUCUGGCCUGAUGAGUGAGCUCGUCUUAAACUUUGAUACUUUUAUGGUUUGCACUCUGCGACACAAAGAAAGAAUGACCAGGCGUAGAGAAGAAUUAGCAUAGCGAUAUUCCUAUGCAAUCAAGUGUAGGAACUAAUGAAAACGAAUAAUCUCUCGUGAUUCACUCUUUGCUUACCUUCCCCUCGGUUGGAUGAAAUGGCUGCC